GAACAGUUUUUCUUACAACCCGUCCGUGUUCUCGGUGCUCUGCUUGUCGGGAUUAUUACGAGUUUUUACUGACUUCAUGCAGAGAUCCGAUCUGAUGCAACUUUCCGCCUGGACCACCUGCACUAAGUCCACUAACUCAAAAUGGAACCACCUCCAGAACCAGAGCCCCUCCCGGGUCCAA